GACGAACGUUGGCGGCGUGCUUAAUACAUGCAAGUCAACUGAAGCAGUGGUAGCAAUAUCGCUGUGGAGGUGGCGCACGGGUGAGUAACACGUAGGUAAUCUGCCUUCAGGUCUGGCAUAACUCCGGGAAACCGGGGCUAAUAGCAGAUGAUGCAGCGGCUCGACAUCGAGACAGUUGUUAAAGCUAUGGCGCCUGAAGAUGAGCCUGCGUCUGAUUAGCUAGUUGGCGGGGUAACGGCCCACCAAGGCAACGAUCAGUAGCUGGUCUGAGAGGAUGAUCAGCCACACUGGAACUGAGACACGGUCCAGACUCCUACGGGAGGCAGCAGUAAGGAAUAUUGCUCAAUGGGAGAAAUCCUGAAGCAGCAACGCCGCGUGAGGGACGAAGGGCUUUUGCUUGUAAACCUCUGUAGUGAGAGAAAAAAAUCCCAAUCUUUGGGACAUGAUGGUAUCUCAAAAGUAAGUCCCGGCUAACUACGUG
rnacentral:rRNA from 1 species